rnacentral:lncRNA from 1 species
CCCAUAGUCCCUGUCUCUUCCUCCUUCCCUCCCUGUCUCCUUCUCUGUUUCUUUCUGUCUGUGUAUGUCUCUCUGGUUCUUCUUUGCUUCUUUUCCCCUUCUGGUUUCUGGUAGCAGGCCUCCAUUGAACUGUUGUAAAACACAAGAAGUGUGGUCAGUAGGAGAGUUUUGGUGGUGCCUCCCAGCCUACUGGCCAAACCAUCCUAGACACUCCCAGAGGCUGCUCCAUUCUUGGGCAUGGCUUUCAUUUACAUGGGCUUUGGAGGCCAUUUUGUCUUGAAGUCAAUGCAUGCUCUCAUGCUGUUCGACAGUAACCUACUCUGCCUUCUCCACGUCCAAGGCUGUGCAUUUGUCCAAUUAGUGUCAUGAAUGUUUCCCCUUUAUUUUUUCCAAUAAAAAAAGCAGUGGGAUGAAAAUUGCUUUGAUAUAUAGCAGGAAUAUUGAAGCUAUUCCAUAGCACUUAACCGUAGUGAAUACUGUGUCCCCAGUUCUGAAAUCAAUUUAAUGUUUAAUGCAAAUCCAUUACAUGGUGCUAUUACAGGCUGACAAAAUGAUUUACACAAAUGUGACAACUCGGGCUCAGUUCACUCUGCUUCCCAACAGUGUAAAUGCAUAGCAGUGUUUAUCUGCAUGAGAACUAUGCACUAAUCUAUCUGAAGAAAAAAAAAAACUAUAUCAACUUUGGUAUCUACUUUCCGUUUACUUCAAUCCUUGCCUUUUUGGUCAUUGUUAUAAUGCCAGCUUUAGGACAGAAAGAAUUAUAAGAAAACCAGCAUAAUACCUGAUAUAUUAAAAUGUAGUGCCUGUGAAACCUGUAUUAUACUGCUCUUCUGAAGUAAGAUUUUUCUACACCGGUAGCCUUCGCUGUCUGUCAGUCAGGACCUCUGGUAUAGGUGAUGUAAAAUAACCGUACAAUAUUAUGCAUGCUAUCCCAUAAUGCUUAGUGACUGUAUGAUAUUACUCAGAGUUCUGUUAGACUUUUUUUUCUGCCUCAGUUCUUAUCAGCUAGGUUUGAGGUAUUUCACUGAGAACGUGAACUCGGUCUUCCUUCUGGCUGUCUUCAUGAUCUUGGAGGUGUACACUUACUUAAAUUCAGUAUUACUUGUGUUUGUUUUCAUUUUUGUUUUUUUUUUUUUUUUGCUUUGUUUUGUUU